GUUGGAUAUUUCUUCCUUUUUGGUGUGCAGAUGAGCUUUUUUUAUUUGAAUUGUACGAAAUUGGAAUAAGUAUUUUCAGCAACCUGAAAGGCUUGUGUAAAACCACUUCCUUACUCAAGCAUUGUCACAAUGAUUUAAGAUAUUUACUGAAUGCUUGUAUUUGUUUGGUUAUAGGCCUGAACAAUCAGUGUGUGUGGAAAUUUUGCCAUACUAGGGACAGCUGGUGGUUGGAUUCGGCGGUUCAAUCUGCAGUCAGGAAGCAGCCGAGGUAGUUAUGUGGAUCCAUCGGAAAGAAGCGGCUCUGCCCAUGACGGGGAAGUUGUUGGAAUUGCGUAUGAUUCAACUAAUACUCACAUGAUAAGCGCUGGAUAUCAGGGAGACAUAAAGGUCUGGGAUUUCAAGGGACGUGCAGUACCAUCUAUAUGGGAAGUUGGGAGCGCUGUUGUCAGGAUUGUAUACAAUCGUUUGAAUGGUCUUUUGGCUAUUGCCGCUGAUGACUUAAUUAUCCACUUGUUUGAUAUUGUUCGAGAUGAGCUAACUAUAGCUUGGGAUGACGAGCUUGAUUCUUUUGUAGCACAUAUAUAUGAGAGAUUUCGAAGAUAGAGCACUUAUCAUUCACACGUAUCAAUUUCGCUCGACUCCUACUCGUUUAGUGCCAUUUCAGCUGUUAAACGGGGUUAAUAGCUUCUGAUUCAUCUCAAUAAUAAGGCUCUAAUGAUUGCAAUUACGAGCCG